AAGGAGGUAGGAAGGGCCUGCUCUCUUCGUUGCAGGCGGCUGCUGCCUGGUGAUCCAGCACUGUGCCUGAAGUCAGCAUCCUGGUUCUGACACUUACCAGCUGUGGGAUCUUGGCAAAACCUGUCUUACCGGGUUAAAUGUGGGCAGUUUUUAAAAGCAGGAUAUUUUCUUAGAAAGGGUUUAGGAAAUCUUCAAGCACCUGAGUAUUAAUUUUAACAGAGUAUCUCUGGGAGCCUUCCACAGAAGUAUGUGGAUCCUUUAUCUGGAGCUGCUGGCCAAAGAGGAAAAAAGACAUUAAAUGGACAAGUAGAAGGUAAUUUUAACAAAACUUACAGAUUUGUCAGCAGAACUAGACUUAGAAAUGACAUGAGAGGAAGAACAAGAAAAAUCUGAUGGAGAUGAAAAUAACCAUUCACAGCAUGCUUUGGAGCCGCAGUGUUGAGGCCAGACUUCCUGGGUUUGAAUUCUGAGUCUGUUGGUGACCUGCUGUGGGCUUGGACAUGGUCCUCAGCCUCUCUGUGCCCCAUCUUUCCCCGUGUAGAGGACCUCAUGCAUUACCUGUCUUCGAGAAUAACUGUGAGGAUCAAAAGUGCCUUCAGAUAUGGUCAAAGCACAGAUUAAUGACAUGAGCUACCUGAAUGACUGAACUCAGUCAUCUGAAAGUGCUUCCCAGGAUGGUGAUGUCUUUACUCUAAGAUUUCCACAUUGCAAGUAGAACCGCUUGGCUUGAGGUAUAAAAAUUGACCUUAAAGCAAGAAGAAGAGAAUAGAAGAAAUGCUGACAUGUUAUAUGAAAAAAUUAGGGAGCAGUUAAGAAGAAAGGAAGACCAAUAUAGUAACAAAGCUGAAAUGAAACAGCAACUUGAACUCAUUCUCAGAGCACUAGAUGGAACUGAAGACUGAGAAAUGAUCUGAAUCAGGUUAUGGAAGAGUGACAUGACGCUUAGAAGCAGCUUUCUGGAGAACGGAAUGCCAGAAUCUUACAGGAGGGAAUCCUGGGCAAUCACCUUGCCAAACAAAAGCAGAAAGAAAUGGCUGAUAAGGAAAUGAGCUCUUAGGUAUUUUCUGUAUUCAUUUAUGUGUGUGUAUGUAUCUGUGUAUGUAUGUAUUUUAUAAACGAAGAGUAUGUACCAUAGAAAAUGUAGAGGCUUGUGAAAGCCUAUACAUCUAUAUUUUGAGGAGGGAUGACAUUUUUCAUGUGUUGGAUAAAGUAAUAUUUGUAAUUCAGAUCCAUUUGUCUACAGCAGUCAGGUAG